CCCCGGGCCGGGAGGGGGUGGCGAGUGGCCGCUGCGCCGUGAAUCACCGCUGGCCCCCAGCGCGGAAGCAGCAGCUCACGGCUCUUGCCUGGUGGUGUGGUGGGUUCCUGGGCUGUCCGCUGCCCUUUCUAACCAGGGGGACACCCCCUACACCCCCCCACGAGGGGCCGAACUCACGCAGCGGUUGCUUUGUGAAGCUGGUGUGACGCCUGAAGCCGGCAAGGACAAGUAGCGCCGAGUAGUGACUGGAACACGAGUAUAAGAAGUUUGUAAAAGUUGGCGGUUUCACAGAAGGUCGUGGAGGAUUCGUGAAUCCAGCGUUGGGAGCCCUCUGAGGUGCGGUUUGGGCAAAGCAGAUUCUUCCCUUCAAAAAAAUGACUUUCCGAGCUCUGGUUUUGUGUCUGACUUGUGCUGAGCUUGCAAAGGCAAAUGUGGUUCCACAGAUUGAACGCAGAAAUGUGAAGGUGGGUGACAAUGUGACUCUCAGCUGUGCCCUGAGAGAACCCAUGGAUGUUCUGCAAGUGACGUGGCAGAAGGACUCUGGAAAAUCACGCAGUAAUAUAGCUACAUACAGUGCCAUAACAGGAUUAAAGAUUCAUGAGCCCUAUCAAGACCGAAUGAAUUUCACAAGUAUGGUACUCAAUGAGACAAGCAUCACUUUUUGGGACACUAGAAUGGAUGAUUCAGGGUGUUACACAUGUCUCUUCAAUGCUUUUCCUCAUGGCUCGUUGUCGGGACGCACCUGCCUGAGUGUCUUUGGUCUCAAUGCAUCUGUCCAUUACAACAUUUCCGGAGGUCAUUUGGUAGCCAUCUGUAAUGCUGUUGGCCUUCCAGAGCCCACCAUCACCUGGAACAACUUAUUCAAUUCUACUCCUACACAGGAGACAGUCAGGCACACCAAUGGGAUGGUGUCCAUCACCAGUAAACUGGAGAUCUACAACUCUCAGAGCAUCGGUGCACAGAACUUGGCCUGCAGAGUAAGCAACAGGAAUGAAAAAAUGGAAUUGCCUGUGAGAAUGGAAAGAGAAGAGGGAUCUUCAUUGCUUUGGCUGACAAUUGCUGUGGGAGUUUUAAUUGUUGUCAUAGUUCUGAUUCUGAUCACACUGUGCUGGAGGAAGAAAAUAUGCAGGAGAGGUUGAAAUGGAUCCUAGGGGAUUUCCAUUCACCCACCAGAUCAUUACAGCCCAGCCCAGCAGCCUGAAGUCAACAUUAGAAGCAGUGAUUUGACUGUCUGGAAAGAAGCAGCAAUAAAAGAAAAUACAACACAUACACUACACUACCCUGUCUAGAUGCCCAGCUGUAUGCUGAAAAGACUAGUGCAAUGUUUGUUAUCCAGUCUAGAUGCUUAAUCAUAAACAGUAGUACCAGAGGGACCACUUAGUCCACUCCUGCUGCCAGGCAAAAACUACUUUGUUCAUGCCACUUAUGGUGCUGCUAGUGUGUAAAAUAUAUUUGCCUUCUUCCAACUGACUUUUGAAAACAACCAUGGAUGAAGGCUCUAUAAGCUCUCUGAGAAUUCUCUUCCAGUGCCUAAUUCCUCUUGCAGUAAAGAGGGGCUUAAUUUUUACCAAUAUCUGUCUGCAAUUCCACUUGCAGCAACUUGAUGUUCAUUCCCCUCUUCCUACCAUUUACUUUUCCCUCUCUUAUCCAGCUGAUCCAGUUCCUUUUCCUCAGUGAAUGCCUGAAUAUACCAGUGUAUGCAAUGACUCUCUCUGGAGAGACAUGCUGGACUUAAAACCACAGGACUCAAAUCACACCAAAUCUGUUGAAAUUACUGGGAAAGAGCGAUAGGGCUCCAAGUAGGUCACAGAUUAGAGAGAGUAGCAACCACAGUUGAAAAAGAAGAGGUGUAAGUAAUUUAUUUUAUUUGGCUUUUCUUGGGAUGUUUGGGGUUUUUUAAUAUUUUAAAUAUUUUUAUAGAUAAAUGAGGAGGAGAUGGAAGCAAAGCAGAAGUAUUGACGUCUCCAUCUUUCCUUUCUGUUCUGCUGCCAUUCUCUCUCUGUUUUUUUUUUUAUGAAACAACUCCUUUGAUACUCCAGUCUACUCCUACCUUGGCUGUCAAAAUACAUGGACUGUUUGUCAAUAGUUCUUGUGAUCAUCUUGUGCACUGUCCAGAAUAGUCUCCCUUGUCUUCAUCUUUUUUUGUUGUGUCUUUUUAAACACAGAGAAAUCAUUUUGCUGCCCAAAAGCAAAGAUCCGUACUUGUAUCUUCUUGUGGGGGAUUUUACACCCUGAGCUAACUAUCAUGUGUCACUACUGUGAAUGUAAUGGUAUCAGUGGGGAGUCAUACAGAGGCUGAAUUUACUGUUUUGCUAUGGUUUUGGUAGCAGAUAAAGACACAGCACAACUCUUACAUGUUGAGGCCUAACUCUGCUCCUGCCCCAAGUAGGAUUGGAGUUUCUCUCCCCACUACCAUCCCCCAUGCUUCUCACUACCUGCCCAAGCCUGCUGAUCUUGGCUAUUCCAGAUUUGAUGCUCCUGUUUUCUGCCAUUUGUACUGGCUGUGUGUCAGCAGACUCAUUGUGAGAGCGAAGCACUCCUGGGCAUUGCCUUUGAGCUCAUCUUGUUUGUGAGGGUCAAUCAGAACCUUGGCAUGCCCUCUGCCUCCUGACACCUCCAUAGUGCUCAGAGACUGCUCCACAAGGUGAAGGUUACAAAAAACAAGCCUGUCUCUGGGCAUACUGAUUUUGUGGCCCAUUUUACUGAGAGAACAGAAAGACAAUGGUUCUGCAGAGGGCCCUCUGCUGAUUUUUGUUCUGCUGAGAAAUGCUAAUGUUUAAGGUGUUUAUCUUCCUUCUGUCUGAAGGAGUUUGUAGUGAGGUGGGGGUUAGUCUCUUCUCCCCAGUAAUGAAUGAGAGGACAAAAGGAAAUGGGCUCAAGCUGCACCAGGGAAGGUUUAGACUGGAGAUUAGGAAGAAGUUUUUCACUAAGAAGGUUUUCAGACACUGGCACAGGCUGCCCAGGGAGAUGGUGGAGUCACCAUCCCUGGAGAUAUUUAAAAGAUGCGUAGAUGAGGACACUGCAGAACACUUGCAGUGAUGGACUUGGAAGUGUGAGGUUAGUGGUUGGACUUGAUGAUUUUAAAGGUCUUUUCCAACCAAAAUGAUUCUAUAAUUCUAUCAGUCAUUGUAUUUCAAUUUCUACCAAUAUCCUCUUGUCUUUUGGGUUUGGUUAGUGUUUCUUUAUGCAUUCUUAAAUAUUCCAUCUUGCCAAGCACAUAGCAUUUUGGAUAGUGUUUUUUAUGUCAUAUGUUUACCAAGAGUGCAAGCUGUCAAUCUAAAAAAUCAACUGAGAAGAUUUAGCAGAUACAAGACUUAGGACCAAGUGUUCAGAGCUGAUAUUUUGUUGGUUCCAAAUCAGCAGCCUCUCUAGAGUCUGGCAAAUAAAGUUGCGUUUAUUACUGAGGACAUGAGGGGCAACAUUUACUGUUACUGUCAGUGCAAUAUGAAUUAUUUAUUUAUAUAUUUCACUUUUAUAAUUAAAAAAAAGAAUCCAAUCCAGCCAAAACAGCAAUUGGUCUUUUCUUCUUCUUCUUCUUCUUCUUCUUCUUCUUCUUCUUCUUCUUCUUCUUCUUCUUCUUCUCCUUCUUCUCCUUCUUCUCCUUCUUCUCCUUCUUCUCCUCCUUCUCCUCCUUUUCCUCCUUCUCCUCCUUCUCCUCCUUCUCCUCCUUCUCCUCCUUCUCCUCCUUCUCCUCCUUCUCCUCCUUCUCCUCCUUCUCCUCCUUCUCUUUCUCCUCCUUCUUCUUCUUUCUGAUCGUUUGGAUACCAGAAAUGCUUCUUUGCAAGUGAGGGUUUCUGUGGUUUCAUGCUUUGCUUCUUUUCUGUACAGAAAGUGGGACUUCAGGGAGUUUUUAAGGUGUUUUGGUUUUGGGGUGGAUUUUUUUUUUUCAAGACUUUUGAGAGAAACAGCUUUUGAGAUUAAUAUACAGAAUUAUUUUUGACCACAGUUGCUGAGGUUUACUUCAUAUUUGAAACUAACUUCAGUUGAUCAAAAAAUUGUGGUUUGUAUUUUUAGAGCUAUUAUAUUUGUGUGUCAUGUUUCUCACUUGUUUUUGAUCUGGGGUUACAUGCUCUGCUGAUGUAUUUGCCCUGUUUUCUGAAUUUGCCUUUGCUGGAAAGAAGCCUAAUAAAGCAACUUUGAACAUAAGACUACAUGAUUACUUUCAUUUGUGGCACACUGCUUAUGAGCUUGUAUAAAUUGAUGAGAGAAGCAUCACAUAUGAGCUCUUAAGUGCAUUAAUAAUUCUUUGGAAAGGCAAUAGUGACCUAGUGUUUUCUUUAAGAGAAAGACCUUUUGAGGAAAAUUAUGAAACCACAAUUGUUUUUCUUUGUCAUGGCAUCAACUUGCACUUUUCUUCUUCAAAGAUAUGAUGGUGAGAAACUUAGAUCUGGUUAAAAAGACAUGACAAUGCUGUGUAGCAGCUGACUCGGGUUUAUGUCCAAGGUCUUGCAGUAGAAGGCAGCAAUCUAUUGCCUGUCUGAGCAUUGCCAGUUGGUAGAACAGAAUAGGAAUGGAAUGGAAUGGAAUGGAAUGGAAUGGAAUGGAAUGGAAUGGAAUGGAAUGGAAUGGAAUGGAAUGGGCAACUUCUAGAGGUUUUGAGAUUAUAACAUGAACUCCUCUCCUGGUCUUUAAAUGAUGGUUUCUGGAGAACUUCCUACUAGAUACUGGUCAGAAAAGUCUUGCUGCUGACAUACGUCACUCUGAGUGAUAAGAAUUAGUAGUUUCUCCUGGGAAUUUGGCACUCUUGAGAUCAGCCAAGUCACCUCUCCAUGCACAAAAUAGAAGGUAGCAGAGGCAGCAGCACCACUGCCCUGAGCACUGUGUGAGGCAAGCUGUGGUUUUCCAGGCAGAAGGGUAGUUUUUAUCAUGCAGAAGGGCUGCUUGCCAUUGCCAAGGAGUUCCUGGCAGAGCUGGGUUGAGCAUUGCUUGUCUCACCAGUCACAGAGUGAGUUGCGCUGGCAGAGCAGGGCAGGAACCAAACAGUGAUGGCUGGGGAAACAGGCUGGGGCUGAGUUAUGGUAACAGGGUUGAAUGACCUUAGAGAAAAUAGACUAGCCAUCCUGAAUUUCACAAAAUUAAACAAAUGCAGAGUAGCAGGCUUCCUCAGGGAAACCUCAAGGUUGCUAUAAAACCAGUGAAAGGUUGUGCUUUUUUUGGCUGACAGUCUUCUCAUUGCAACCUGUUAAGAUGUUGUCUUUUGUUUUUGAGUAACAAUCAAUUGUUUAGUUCCUACAGCCGUGUCCUCUCUUUGUGAUUUUUUGUCCCUGGCAUGCUCAAGGGUUCCAUUAUUCUUAUUCUUGAAUUGUGCUGACGUAUGGUGCAGGAAGGCAAAGUGUCUGCGAGAUGACAACGUCUAUGUGUGGCUGUGGGCCUUCAAAAUCCCAGCAGGUAGGGCCAGGUUCUUAGAAAAGAGGGGGUUUGCAAAAAAAGAAUAAGUUCUAAUGAUUUUUCUGAUCUUUUUUUUCUUUUUAUCUCAGAUGUUUUCUCAUUGCCUUGCCGUAGCGACCACACAGCCUGAGGUUGGGGCAGCUACUCCAGCUGCCUCUGAAGAAAUGGCAAAUGCAUUUUUUCCUCUGUUCUUUCUUCAUUCCUUUCGGAUCCACGAAUUUUGCCUCUGCACAGUAUAUUUCCAGUUUCCAGGUCUUAGAAAUAUUGGAUGCUUCUGGUUGACUCUUUCCCUGUCCUGUUGUCCCAUGUGCCUGCACUUCUGUGUUGCCUGGCUGCUGUCCUGCUGACUAAAGUGCAAUUUGCUUUGCAAGCAUAGUAGUGGCUGUUCUCAAAGUCUGCUGCAUAACAAGAUGUCAAGGAAGUACAGGAUAAUUUUAGAAGCUAAGAAGAUGAGGGAAAGACCUUGUCUGGAUUUUUGUUUUCAGGCCCUUAAAAUGGGCCUAAAUUAGCAGCAGAAUUGGUACAUAAAAAGCUUUCAAAUUUAAGUUAAAAGCACUUAAAUGUGUGUUUUCCAAGACCACGUGCAACAAGCGAUAUUCACUUUAUGUAUACAGAUAUCACCUGCUGCCUUCUCUCUGGGACCUCAUGCCAUUUUUCAUUCAUAAAAUGUUUCUAUUUCCAUGGCCCUCUCAUGCAGGUCUGUUUCUGUACAGUCAGCCACCUAAUGGCCCACUGAUCAUUUUGUGUGCCAAAAGAAAGUUGCUUCAUGGUGUUUCCAAUGUCUCUGAAAGCUCAGCACUAGUGCUGGGGUGGCAAAAGUGCCUUCAGACAUUCAGUAGCUUCCGUGUGUCAUUUAAAAAAUGUGUCAGGAUGGAGUCUAAGGCGGGCUGUCUGCCUGGCCUGAGUAGGAAAAUGUAUGGGAAAUGAGUUUCUUAGUCAACCGCUCCCCCAACUGCUGAACCCCUUGUGCUGAAGCAAGAGAGGCUAUCUGCAGCUUCCGUGUGCCAAGAGAAUUGAGAUCCCCCUUCGAGACCAAGGGUCCUUCUGCCAUGGGAUACAUAGGGAUUGCUCAAAGGAGAUGAAAAUGACAGGAGCUUGGUGCUUUGAGUCAUUCUGUCUGCAAGAGGGAAGUGUGGCUGCCUGGAUGGACAGAACUGGGCAGUACAGAAGAGGAUUACAGCCCUGCCCUUGCUAAUCUGGAUUUCCUUAAGGAAAUGGAAGAGAUGAAUUACUAGGCUGCAAUUAGUAAGGAAAUUCACUUCUGGAAAACAAUGUAGCUGAGCAUAGCAGGCUGACAAAGGGAAAUGGAGUGUCUUCCGCUACUUACUUGAAACAGGGUUUGAGCAGAUCACUCAGUGGUAGAUGAAUUAUGUCUCAGACAGAUUGCCUGUUCUAGCAAUAAUUAACAAAUUCUUAGUUAAGUAUUUUGGUGAGGAAACGUGCUAUGAGAGAAUAAUUUAUAUUUGUUUUCAUCCACUCUUAAAAUGUUUCUGAUUUCAACUUUUCUUCCCAAUUAUGUCCUUCCCUGUUCAGAUUUCCCUGACUUCUUGUUCCUCUCAGUCCUGGACAAGUCCCUUCUGGUUGCUCUUUUGUUCUUUGCAAAGAAUUUUGCCUGAAGAGUGUUGUUUUGUUGCUUCUCUGUACACACUCUCUAUCUGACUGCUCCUUUUCCCUCUCUGAUACCCAAGAGUUCACAGCGGUCACUCCAUCGUGUGAAAGUUACCAUCUCCCAGGGUCACAGUAACCACACAGUGGAAGUAGCUAAGAGGUACAGGCAAAGAGAAUGUGCAGCUGUGAGUCUAAUUGAGUAACAUGAUUGGCAUUUCACCACGGAGAAAAAGGGAAGCCUACUUUCACCACUGUUGCAAUACUGUAAAGUUUGGUUUAUAUUAAGCAACUGGGGAUUUCAGCUAACUGAUUUUAGGUAGAGGUGAAAAAUACUGGUGGUUUUCUGCCUCCUUUACCAUCACACAAUCUGGGAUAAGAAAUCAAAAGGUAACUAUGGAAUCUCUUGGUGAGGCUUGUUUUCUUGCUGGACCAGCCAGCACUCUGUGUUGAUGAGAACAGCACUAGGAAAAUACAUGAGGCUUUGAUGAAAACGUUGGACAGCAUGGAAGGCGUAGUGGUUUGUUUCCCUGCCCAGCCCUGAGCAUCCCAGCAGGAACCUGCAUGAGAGUGGUUGCGCUGGGAGAGAUGAGAGAGCUCGUGUGUCCUGCUCUGCCUCCAAAUCACACACCUGGAGUCAAGCAGCUGCUUAUGCAUGCCAAGCUAUGCUUCUCUCUUGACCUGUCUGCCAUGAGUGUAAAUCUGCAUAUGUGUUGGGCAGCCACCCAAAGGACUGCCUAGCAGCCACAGUGCUGCUGUAGCAGGUGCUUUGCUCUUCCACCAGGGUGCCCUUGUGUACCUAAUUCUUCUUUAAAUCACUAUGUUUCUCUACAGAUAAGGAGACAUGGGAAGAGAGAUAUGGAACUUUCUCCAGUCUUUGUGGAAGAAUGGGGUUGGAAUUUGGAAUCAAACAAGGAUGAGGACGACUCCUGGCAUUCUUCCCCUGCUUCAACACGGAGUUCCUCCCCUGGGACACAGUCCUUAAUGAACUUCUCUGGUGUUGUUCCCAACAGCUGUGGCUUCUGCCAAUACAGGGUCCCUCACAUGGGAUGCAGCCCUUGGUGAAUAUCUCUGGCGUGGAUUCUUCACUACAAUUGCAGUUUCUGCAGUUACAGGGUCCCUCUCUCGGGACAAGGCCUCUUCUGGGCAUAAGUUUAAUGAGCUGUUUUGUCAUGGGUUCCUUCCCACAGUUACAACUGUGAAUAUUGGGUCCCUUCCUCACGACAUGGCCUGCUCCAGCCAUAGUGAUAAAGGGUCCAUUCUUCAGGACAUAGCCUCUUUCGACCAUAGUUUUAAUGAAGAAAAUCACUGCCCCUGGCUCAGGGUCUAUAGUGAAGUUACAGGGUCCCUCCCAUGGGACACGGCCUCCUCCAGCCAUGGUCACUGUCCCUGGCUCGGGGCCUUUAAUGAAGUGAAUCUCUGCCCCUGGUCCAGGGCCAGCUUUAGCAACAUGAGUCUCUGCCCCUGGUACAGGCUCAUUAUCAAAAUGAGUCUCUACCGCUGAUGUGGGGUCUUCAAAGAAAUGAAAAUAAAUCUCAGCUUCACCAAUUCUCUCCAUAGAAUGCAGGGGAGUCUCUGCUCCAGCACACCUUCUCCUUUAUCUCAUCACUGACCUUGGAGUCCACAUGGUUGCUUCUCUCACUGUUCCUACUCCUUGCACCACCACCAGCCAGAAGAAGAAGAAGGGUUAGAAGAAAGGGAAGAAACAGGAAGAAGUAGGAGGAAGCCUCUUCUUCUGGCUUCUUCUUAAAAAGUGAUCGUGGAGGUGUCUAAUUGGCUCAGCCCCAGCAGUGUGUCUGGUUUAGAGCUGGGGAGAGUUGUGAGCAACUUCUUACAGGAGCCAUCUUUACAGCCCCUUCCCCCGUACCAAAAGAGGCUGUCAUGUCAAAUCAUGACACACUGAAAGAGCAGAAAUCCCAGUCUCAGAGACUAGUGACACAAGUUCAUGAGAUGUGGGUGGUUGGCGGUCUACCAAGAGUGAGAAAAGCUGAGGGAGAGUCCUUUCUGUCUGGUCCUGUCCCCUCUGAAUUAGUAAGGAAACAAAGGCAGUGUGAAGUCCUGUGACUGACCCGCAGCAUCAGGCUGCAGGAGUUGCUCAGUAUGGCCUUGUUUAACACCUGAGGCUGAGGUUUUUAUUGUGGUUUCAGAGUUGUGUUUCCUGUUAAGUGCAUUUUGGGUCUCUGAAGAGUUUAUUUUUUGAGUGCUCCACUAGACUUAGCUCAGGUUCACAUGAGAACUGGGCUCUGAGUCUUCAGAUUCAUUUCUUUUUGUGCUGUUCAGGCCAGAUUUGGCUGAGAAACUUUGUUUGUCUGAUGUUGGAUUUGGAAAAGAUAAAACUCUGCUGUGGGAUAAAUGGGGCGCCUAACAGUUGAUACAAAGAACUUGUUAUGCCUUUAUUUUUUGGCAUAUAAGCAGCACUCUCAUCUAUGGAAAAAAUCUCUCCAUUCCCACAGGAACCAUAUCUGCUGUCCACCCCAGAUAUUUUCCCUCACCCUUCUGACACAGCUUUGCAUGUUUAUCUAGCCAACAUAAAGAAACUAGGGGUAAAAUUGGCUCUAGAAAGCAGUGUAGGCACCCCAGCAUGGAGGAAAAACUGUUACACUAAAAGCAGGGAAGACAGAGCCAUUGCAAAAGGUGGGACAUGGACACCUCAAAUGACAUAAGCAACUAAGUAAACAGACUUGAAUAGAUUUCUGAUUUCCCAGAAGCAUUCCUCAGGACAUCGUGUUUAGUGAGGUGAGAUGUUUCUUCAAGCUUCUCUACGUUAGGUGAAAGGUCAGCAUUUAAUAUAAGCGGAGAAGUAGUCCCAAAAACUGCAUAUUUGUUUCUGCUGGUCUUUGUGACCAUUUUAUAAGUCUGAAAAUUUGAGGGGAUAAGUAGAAAGCAAGAAGCAUGAACUUAUUUGAUAUCAACCUAAUUUGUAUUAUGCGGCUAAUAUGGCAAAUUAUUCAACACAAGCUGUAAAUCCUCUGCUCAGUGAUUUUACACCACUCUUGGGGUAGCAGAGGUAGACUUAAUUUAAUAUCCUUGCUUUGUUUGCUUGUACUGUGUGCAGAACAGCUGUUUUGAUGGUGUGUUGUGUAAUCCAUUCUGUUACAUCGUGGGUUUGGACAGGUGCAGCUUUCAUAUAGUUACGUGUGGAUGGAUGGUAAGCUGACACUAGAGUAAGCUCCUAGCAGGAUCUGGGAACCCAUGGAGAGAGUAGUCCACACCAGAGCAGGUUUGCUGUCAGGACUUGUGACUCCAUGGGUGACUCAUGCAGGAGCACUUCAUUCCUGAAGGUCUGUUUAACUUGUGGAUAAGACCCAUAUUGGGGCAGUUCGUGAAGAACUGUAUCCCAUGGGAAGGACUCACUUUGGAGAAGUUUAUGGAGGACUGUUUCCCAUGGGAGAGACCCCACACUGUAGCAGUGGGAAGUGUGAGGAGGCCUCCCCUUAGAGGAAGUAGCAGCAAAGCCCGUCUGUAAUGAACUGACUGUAACCCUCAUUCCCCAUCCCCCUGCACCAAUGUGGGGAAGGAGGGAGAAGCCCAAGAAGAAGGAGGGAGUGACGGGAGAUGUUUUAAGGUUCAGUUUGUAUUUCUUAUUUUCCUACUCUGUUUUGAUUGACUGUUAAUAAAUCAAACCAUUUCUCCUCAA